AACGAACGCUGGCGGCAGGCCUAACACAUGCAAGUCGAGCGAGAACGGUUCUUCGGAACUUAUUAGAGCGGCGCACGGGUGAGUAACGCGUGGGAAUGUACCCUUGGGUACGGAAUAGCUCCGGGAAACUGGAAUUAAUACCGUAUGAUGUCUUCGGACCAAAGAUUUAUCGCCCUUGGAUCAGCCCGCGUGACAUUAGCUUGUUGGUGGGGUAACGGCCUACCAAGGCAACGAUGUCUAGCUGGUCUGAGAGGAUGAUCAGCCACACUGGGACUGAGACACGGCCCAG
rnacentral:rRNA from 1 species